UACGGGGGGGGCAAGCGUCGUUCGGAAUUACUGGGAGUAAAGCGCGCGUAGGCGGACCUGCAAGUCGGGGGUGAAAGCCCGAGGCUCAACCUCGGAACUGCCUUCGAUACUGCGGGUCUCGAGUCCGGGAGAGGUGAGUGGAAUUCCUAGUGUAGAGGUGAAAUUCGUAGAUAUUAGGAAGAACACCAGUGGCGAAGGUGGCUCACUGGCCCGGUACUGACGCUGAGGCGCGAAAGCGUGGGGAGCAAACAGG
rnacentral:rRNA from 1 species